rnacentral:rRNA from 1 species
GCCUACGGGAGGCAGCAGUGGGGAAAUAUUGGACAAUGGGCGAAAGCCUGAUGCCAGCCCAUGCCCGCGUGUGUGAAGAAGGUUUUCGGAUUGUAAAGCACUUUAAGUUGGGAGGAAGGGCAGUAAGUUAAUACCUUGCGUGUAUUGACG